GACGAACGCUGGCGGCGUGGAUUAGGCAUGCAAGUCGAACGGUAGGAUACCUUCGGGUAUCUGAGAGUGGCGAACGGGUGAGUAACACGUAGGUGAUCUACCCUCAAGAUUGGGACAACCCAGGGAAACUUGGGCUAAUACCGGAUGAAAGCAGCAGUGAUGUUGUUUGAAAGGUGGCGUAAGCUGCCGUUUGGGGAUGAGCCUGCGCUCUAUUAGUUAGUUGGCGGGGUAAAGGCCCACCAAGGCGAUGAUAGAUAGGCGGCCUUAACGGGUGGUCGCCCACACUGGGAUUGAGAUACGGCCCAGACUCCUACGGGAGGCAGCAGUCGAGAAUAGUCUACAAUGGCCGAAAGGCUGAUAGUGCGACGCCGCGUGAACGAAGAAGCCCUUCGGGUGUAAAGUUCUUUUAUAUGUGAGCAGUGCUUUCUAUGUGAACAGCAUGGGGAGAGAGAUAUUAGCAUAUGAAUAAGCGACGGCUAACUCCGUGCCAGC
rnacentral:rRNA from 1 species